rnacentral:rRNA from 1 species
GGGGCAGACUGAGGAGCACGCCGCGGUGAGCGAAGAAGGUCUUCGGAUCGUAAAACUCUGUUUGUUAGAGAAGAACACGGGUGAGAGUAACUGCUUCACCAUGAUUGACGGUAUCUAACCAGCAAGUCACGGCUAACUACGUGCCAGCAGCCGCGGUAAUAA